rnacentral:rRNA from 1 species
GUGCCAGCAGCCGCGGUAACACCGGCAGCUCAAGUGGUGGCCGUUUUUAUUGGGCCUAAAGCGUUCGUAGCCGGCCUGAUAAGUCUCUGGUGAAAUCCCAUAGCUUAACUGUGGGAAUUGCUGGAGAUACUAUCAGGCUUGAGGUCGGGAGAGGUUAGAGGUACUCCCAGGGUAGGGGUGAAAUCCUAUAAUCCUGGGAGGACCACCUGUGGCGAAGGCGUCUAACUGGAACGAACCUGACGGUGAGUAACGAAAGCCAGGGGCGCGAACCGGAUUAGAUACCCUCGUAGUCC